AGCGUGACAUUGAAGACUUCCAGUUCCGGGUUCCGCUGAUCAGAAGCGGACAAGCAAACAGCGGAUGUGCAGUUCCUCUCUUCGCCGAACCCGGUUUUCCCUUUCGGAGCAGCGCGACCGAUUUCCGGUUUCCCCGCCGCAACCACCGUUACCCCCCCCCCGCCCCAAUCCCCGGCGACUCCAGCGACGUCACCGGUUCAGCUCCUGACCUUUCGGCGAACCGCAGAACCACAGGCGACCCGUUCGACGUCAUCACUCCCCGCCCAGAUGUCGCUGUGACAUCACCCCGCACGUGCCUGCGCUGGCACCGCGUCGUCCUGGCGAGCGCCUCCUCGCGGCGGAAGGAGAUCCUGGGGUUCGCUGUGCGAGACAUGUCGGCGGGGUUUCACGUGAGUGACACUUGGUCCCCACGGGAUUGACAGCGACUAGCGGAGUGGCAUGUGGACGUAGCUUCAGGUGACCUCACUGACCCCGCCCCUGACUCCACCCCUUGUGAUGACCCCACCACUGACCCACAGGCCUUGGAGGGGCUGAUCCUGGAGAAGUCAAAGGACCAGGAGGACGCCAUGGGGGGUGCUGUACAGGCUGAGCAGGAAGCAGAGCAGCACAGCGUCAUCAUGAGGGUAGCCAUCUUCACCUGGGGCAUCCACGGAGGAGGAGCUGAUCCACGACUACUUGGACAACAGCACACCAGCGAAGGAUGGUGAGGCCCUGCCCCCUGCCUGCACAUGACACUGCCCACGCCCUGUCUGAGACUCUACCAAGUGGUUCUGGGAUAAUAGAUUGAGGGGAUGGGGGCUGCAUACAUUUGCAUGAUUUUGCAUAUUUUGGGCUCAUUUGAAUAAAUUUGUAUAAGUUAACACCAGUUCUCUCAGGACAAAUUUGCAUAGAUUUGUGUGUGACGUCUUGGGCAAAUUAGCAUAAACCAAAAUGAUGUCAUAGUUGUGCUCUGCAUGCGUUUUUUGUGGGUUUUGCAUGAAUUUGCAUACAUCAGCUUCUUUGAAGUAGGUUUGCAUGAGCUGAGGUGACUUUGGUGGCUUCCUCUGUGAAUUUGCAUAAAUUUGCAUAAACCUGAAUGAUAACACAGUGA
rnacentral:lncRNA from 1 species